CUCAAAGAUGUAAAUAUAUGAAUCUCCCAGUGCUUUUCAUAAAUUGUUACAUUGGGAGACACAAUUCCUUGGCCCUUAGAAGCCAUAUUGUAAACAGUGUUUAGGUUCUCAGAAGAGAUGAAACAGGAUUUUUUCAUGCAUUAAUUAGUUAAUUCAACCAGCAUUUAUUGAGAGCUUAGUGUGUGCCAGGCACUGAUCCAGAAGCUGUCAAAACAGUGGGGAACUAGGCAAAGAAGGUUUCUAGCCUUUCUGUUUUUAUCUUUUCAUUGGGGGAAACAGAAGAAAACUAAUUAAUUAAUGUAGGUCAAUUAAUUAAUUAAUUAAACUGCUAAUUAAUAUAUGUAGGUUAAAAAUUCCAGGAAGUGAUAAUAGGUACAAGGACAAUUAAAGUGAUAAUGUGAUGAAAAUGAAGGUAGGAAAUAAAUUCUCUAAUAAAGUGAUAUUUAGACUGAGACUUGAGUAAUGAGAAAGAGCCAAAUAUAUGCCUUAUUUAUCCUGGAGGGAGAGCAUUCUAGAUAGAACAGAUAAUGAAGCUCAGGACAAACUAUGACAUAUUCAAGAGAAAGAAAGCCCUAAAUGUAAUUACAAGUGUCCUUAUAAGAAGGAGGCAAAAGGAGAUUUGACAACAGAUGAUGAGAGGGCAAUGUGAUGAUGGAAGCAGAGACUAGAGUGAUAGACUUUGAGGAAGCAGGAAGGGGCCACAGGCCAAGGAAUACAGGCAGCCAAAAGAAGCUGAAAAAUCUAAAGAAAUGGAUUAUCCUCUCACAGCCUGUGCAAGGAAACAACCCUGCCAACAGCUUGAUUUUAGCCUAGUGAAACUAAUUUUGGAUUUCUGACUUCCAGAACUCUCAAAGAAUAAAGUUGUGUUGUUUUAGUUAAAAACAGGAAAGAAAAAGAAAGAAAGAAACGGGGAAGGAGGGAGGGAUAGAGGAAAGAAGGGAGGAAGGAAAGAAAAGAAAGCAGUCUGGCCCAGCAAGCUUUAACAAGGUGCUGGAGAGUGCAAGUUGAAAUCAAAAGACUGGUUUCCUGAACGCCGACUUCUGAAAAAAUAUGAUUGUUGGUUAGUGGAACAAGGAUUUCUCUAGCUGUACAGCAGACGUUUUCUUUCUAGUGACAUGCGAGAGUGGGUGGUGAGUAUUUCAGAUCAGAACAUUGCGUUCUUGUGAACAGACAAAGAAUAUAUAAUGGCUGGAUUUACUUUUUUUCCUUUUUUUCUUAGAUUGGCCAUCAGACAGCCUUUUAGAAUUAAAUAUCAGCCCCUCUUCAAAAAAGAAACAAAAAGCAAUACCAGAUAAACCUUGG
rnacentral:lncRNA from 1 species